CAAACGCGAAAUGUGUUAUGACAUGCAAUCUUUGAGAAUCAUGAAAUCUUUGAACGCACCUUGUACCUGAAGCCUCGGCUUUGGGUGUGUUUGUUUGAGCAUCGUCAAGGAACUCGCUCUCUGUGAGAGUGGAUCUGGGUGUCCUAUUAGGUGCCUGAAAUACAUAUUGGAGCGUCACGUGACGCGUCUUGGGAUAAUUCCAUCUAGACGCGCCACGCAACCCUCUCUUUUUCUACUAGUUAUCGAUCUCAAAUCAAACAGGAUCACCCGCUGAACUUAA
rnacentral:misc_RNA from 1 species